rnacentral:rRNA from 1 species
UAGGGAAUAUUGGUCAAUGGGGGCAACCCUGAACCAGCCAUGCCGCGUGCAGGAUGACUGCCCUAUGGGUUGUAAACUGCUUUUGUACGGGAAGAAACCUCACUACGUGUAGUGAGUUGACGGUACCGUGAGAAUAAGGAUCGGCUAACUUCGUGCCAGCAGCCGCGGUAAUACGAAGGAUCCAAGCGUUGUCCGGAUUUACUGGGUUUAAAGGGAGCGUAGGCGGACUUUUAAGUCAGUGGUGAAAGCCUGGAGCUUAACUCCAGAAUUGCCAUUGAAACUGAGAGUCUCGAGUAUGGUUGAGGUUACUGGAAUGUUGCAUGUAGCGGUGAAAUGCUUAGAUAUGCAACAGAACACCAAUUGCGAAGGCAGGUAACUAAGCCAUAACUGACGCUGAGGCUCGAAAGCGUGGGGAGCAAACAGG